CCUACGGGGCGCAGCAGUGAGGAAUAUUGGUCAAUGGGCGAGAGCCUGAACCAGCCAAGUCGCGUGAGGGAAGACGGUCCUAUGGAUUGUAAACCUCUUUUGCCGGGGAGCAAAAAGCGGUACGUGUACCGUAUCGAGAGUACCCGGAGAAAAAGCAUCGGCUAACUCCGUGCCAGCAGCCGCGGUAAUACGGAGGAUGCGAGCGUUAUCCGGAUUUAUUGGGUUUAAAGGGUGCGCAGGCGGCGAGUUAAGUCAGCGGUAAAAAUGCGGAGCUCAACUCCGUCGAGCCGUUGAAACUGUCGUUC
rnacentral:rRNA from 1 species